UCGGGAAUAUUGCGCAAUGGAGGAUACUCUGACGCAGUGACGCCGCGUAUAGGAAGAAGGUUUUCGGAUUGUAAACUAUUGUCGUUAGGGAAGAAAAAAGACAGUACCUAAGGAGGAAGCCCCGGCUAACUAUGUGCCAGCAGCCGCGGUAAUACAUAGGGGGCAAGCGUUAUCCGGAAUUAUUGGGUGUAAAGGGUGCGUAGACGGGUGUUUAAGUUGGUUGUGAAAUCCCUCGGCUCAACUGAGGAACUGCAACCAAAACUGGAUAUCUUGAGUGUCGGAGAGGAAAGUGGAAUUCCUAGUGUAGCGGUGAAAUGCGUAGAUAUUAGGAGGAACACCAGUGGCGAAGGCGACUUUCUGGACGAUAACUGACGUUGAGGCACGAAAGUGUGGGGAGCAAACAGG
rnacentral:rRNA from 1 species